UAUUCCUGGAGAUUUCAUUUGAAAUAUUGCCUUAGUGCAUUCUUCUACUGUUAAAGGGCCCCCAAGGAUUCACUUUCUAUUUCUGAUAGUUUGUGAUCAAUGUUGGUUUCAUUUAUGUAAUUUUUUAUAUCUUUUAAAUUUGGAGAAGUGCUUUUAUAUAGAUUUUCAUAGUAUGAUCUUUCUAUGUUUAGAAUUUCUGAGUGUUCUGUAACUAUUUUCCCAUCUUUAUUUUUAAGCGCUGUGAUACUUUUUUUGGUUUGUCUUGAUUUUUCAAGGCCCAGGAAGAAUUUAGUGUUUUUCUCUCCUUCUUCUAACCAUUGUACUCGGGAUCUUAUUUGUGCACCUUUAACUUUAUUUAAGUAGAGGUUUUCAAGUUUUUCUUCCAUGGUUUUAAUUUCUUUUUCCAUAGUUGGGCUUACAUUUGUUUUUUCAUUUAAUUUUCUUAAUUUUGUUUCUAAAUUUUUUAUAUCAUUUUUAUUUUCAGAUGAUCUUUGUUUGCAGUAAGUAAGAGUUGCGGUUCUUACCUCUGAUUUAAACAUAUCCCAAAGUGUUUUCAAAUUUUUGGUGAGUAUUUGUUUUUUUAUAGUUUUCGAUUAAUUUAUUUAUGAGAUCAAUAUAUUUUUGCUCUUUAAGUAUACUAUUAUUUAUUUUAAAGAAUCCCCUGCCUCUUUCUUCCGAAUUUUGUCUUACUUGUAAAGAAAUGGCUUGGUGAUCAGUAUAUGAUAUCAUUGCAGGUCGAAUAUCUGCUUUCAUAACAUGCGGUCUUAUAUCAGGACUUAUUAGAAAGAAGUCAAUUCUACUGGCUAUUUUUGUAUCAUUUUUCCUUCUCCAUGUGAAUUGACUUGUAUUUGGAUGAAGUUCUCUCCAUAUAUCUGUUAAAUUAUUUUUCUUUAUUAAUUUUUUUAAACUAUUCACUGGUUUGUAGUUUCGAGAGAUAUUAUUAGUUUUUUUUUAUCAUUAAUUGAUAGGGUUUCGUUCAUGUCACCUCCAAGUAUAAGAAUACCCAAGCGAUUGUUUUCAAUUAUAUUUUGGACCUUUUUGAAAAAUUUGUUUCUGUUUUUGUGUUGAUUUGGAGCAUAUACAUUUAUUAAAGUAAAAAUGUUUUCAUUUAUUUCUAUGUUAAUCAAAAUUAUUCUGCCUUCUGUAUCUUUUAUCUCAUUUAUUGUCUUACAUUUUAAAUUAUUUUUCACAUAGAUUGAUACCCCUUUUGAUUGUGUGUUACCAUAACUAUGGAACAUUUUGCCAUCAAACUCAUAAUUUAUAGUUUUUUCAUUUUUUUCUAUAAAAUGUGACUCUUGCAUGAAAAGAAUAUUACAUUUUUGAUUUUUUGUCCAUAAUUGUAAUCUUUCUCUUUUCUGUUUUUGGCCUAAACCUUGACAGUUUAGUGAUAUUAUGUGUAGAUUUUCACCCAUUGUUAAAUUUUGAGUUUAGAUGUUUUGUUAGCAUAAAUGCUGAAAAAAGAUAUAUUUGUUUCAUCUGAUAUUUACAACAUAUUUUCAUUAGUUUGAUUUUAUGAUUACUAUAAAAACAAUGGUACACAAUUAUGUGUGAGAUAAGUGCAUAUAAUAAAUAGAAAUAUAAACACAAACUUGACAGUGUACAUGAAUGUAAAUAAAACAUAACACAAACAAAUAUAAGCAUGCAUGCAUGUAGUUGAACAUAUAUUUUUAUUUACUUGUUCAAUAUAUACAUUAGAUUUUUCUUUUGCUACUUCAACAUAUUUUGAGACUAUAUACAUGAUAUAUUACACUGAAAAAACAGAUAUAUUUUAUUCAUAACAUGUGAUGAGACUAUACAUAUAUGAUAUCUAUAUAUAUACAAAAACAUAUCAUAUUUACACGAAAUUUAAUAAUUCAUAACAUGUGCAUAUUUUAUUCAUAGUUUAAUGUGUUUUAAUUUUAUGGUUAUUUAUUUUUAGAUCUGAUGUUUUGGCAGAAGUAAAUGUAUGAAAUUUUGGACCAUGUACAUAGUGUGGAAAUUUACAAUCAAUUUAGAAGCAAUCGGAAUGUUUAUAUUUAGCAAAAUCGGUAUUUGUGUAUAUCUACAUAAUCUAUGAAGGAACAUAUUUGCUGAUAAUCUGGGACUUGCAAAGGAUGGAUGGAUGGAUUUUUUUCAUGUGGAUUAAAAUUGACUUUUGAAGUAUUCCUAAUAUGUGGAUUAAAUAAGAUAUCCAAAUCUUUUUAAUGUGAAAUGGAAAAGGACAAAGUAUGAAUUCUAAUAUGUGAAUUAAAACUGAUGGAUAAUUUGUUAUAGAGCAAGCAUUUAUCAUGGAGAGUUUAUAGCUGUUAACUAUAAAAAUCAACAGAAAAAGUGAUUUUAGACUGAUGUGAUUUAAUGAAUUGGUAUUUAUCAAAGAUAUUUUCUUUAUGAACUUUAAUUUUGUUGGAUUUCUCUUAUUCAUUUUAUCUUUAUUUCUACUUCGAGCAGCUAGUGUUUUCCUUUUACACAGUUCAAGUAUAUGUGUAAUUAUUGUGUUUAUUUCAUUUAUCAUGUUUAUAUGAUUCUUUAUUAUGUUUAUACAAGUAAAAAGCAUCAUAAUAAAUUUUAUUAUCAAAACAGCUUUCCGUAUAUAUUUAUUUAUACCUGCAAAUAUUAUUUUUGUGGUAAUUUCAUCACAACUUGACUUGUUCCAAUAUGUU
rnacentral:lncRNA from 1 species